CGGGAAAGUAAGGUAAUCGCCGCUGUAAUGUUUUGUUGCAGGGGAGGAAAGUCUGGACUUUGCAGGAGAGGAUACCAGUGAAAGACUGGGGGUCGUAAGGCUACGGAAAGUGUAACAGAAAACAGCCCCGCUUUGAUAUUGUCUCUCUGUAGGCCAUCUCAAAGCUAGGAUGAAAAGCCGACUUGAAUGAGUUGGCCUUACCGGCAGAAAUGCCGGAUGUGACAAACCCUAUCCAAAGUAAGGCUAUGAAAUACACUAAGCAUAUGCCCGCGCUCCGUGGGCGCUUUUUGUAUAAAGCCGCCAGAGGCCUUUGGCGACAAAGGCCCUAGAGGAAUGAUUACCCGCCGCUUAAUACCGGCUGACAGAAUCCGGCUUACUACUUUCCCGGAUU
rnacentral:RNase_P_RNA from 1 species